rnacentral:snRNA from 1 species
GUGCUUGAUUCGGCGCACAUACACUAAAAUUAGAAUAAUACAGAGAUUAGCAUGGUCCCUGUGCAAGGAUAACACGCAAAUUUGUGAAGCAUUCCAUGCUUAA